UGGGGAAUAUUGGACAAUGGGGGAAACCCUGAUCCAGCAAUGCCGCGUGUGCGAUGAAGGCCUGCGGGUUGUAAAGCACUUUCGGUGGGGAAGAAAUGCUCAAAUAUAAUACAUUUGAGAGCUGACGUUACCCACAGAAGAAGCACCGGCAAACUCUGUGCCAGCAGCCGCGGUAAUACAGAGGGUGCAAGCGUUAAUCGGAGUUACUGGGCGUAAAGGGUGUGUAGGCUGGUACUUUAGUCGAUUGUGAAAUCCCUGGGCUUAACCUAGGAAUUGCAUUCGAUACUGGGUAUCUUGAGUAUGGUAGAGGAAAGUGGAAUUCUCGGUGUAGUGGUUAAAUACGUAGAGAUCGAGAAGAACAUCGGUGGCGAAGGCGACUUUCUGGGCCAAUACUAACGCUGAGACACGAAAGCGUGGGGAGCAAACAGG
rnacentral:rRNA from 1 species